UUCCAGGGCUGUGCUGGGGUAGGGCUGGGCAGAGCUGCUUUGGACCUUCCGCCUGUCCUGGCAUCGUGCCCUUACUUGAGAUAUGAUCACCUGUGCCCCCGCCCCCACCCCCUGGCCAUAUGGUGGGACAGCAAGAGCCCAACAAUGACUAUGAUCUAAUGAAUGUCACCAGCGCCAGGCUUCUCACUCCUCCUGGCCACCGAGCCCCCUGGAACCCAUGGCCAGUGUAGAGCAGCUACAGCUUGUCUGGUUUCAGGUCCACCUCAGGGUGUCAGGUCCCGUCUCCAGCACACCCCUGGAAAGAAACUGCUGCAAAGGCCUACUGAAGCCUGACUGUGGUGUUUUCUGUCACUCUGCAGCUCAAGCCUCACAUUUCACUGUAGUGACUCAUAUCCCAUAAUCGGUAGUCAUUAGCAAAAGGAGCAGAUGGGGAAGCAUUUUCAGUUUUCUUUUGAGGUGUACCAUUCAAGUUCUACAUUUGGCCAACGGAAAACUAUUUGUUGAGAACCCACUCUGUGGGGCCCCAGGGAUAAAAUGAGCAAAAAUGGGGUCCCUGCCCUCAAAAGUCCUGUGGUCUCCUGGAGACAGACAUUAAUCAAUAACUACUCAGGUGCAUGUGUAUUACAAACUGUGCCAAGUGCUUUGAAGCAGAGGGGCACAGUUAAGUCUUGACAUUUCAAGACUUAGCCACUUUGCAACUACCAGGUUUUGGCUGCAAAGUUCCAGAUGGCUUCUGUCUUUUGCAUUUCAUACUUUAAACCCUUGCAGGCCCUUCCCUAACUAUCAAGGGCCUGUCCCAGAAGCAACUCAAGUUUU
rnacentral:lncRNA from 1 species